rnacentral:rRNA from 1 species
UACAGGGACUGCAAGCGUUAUUCGGAUUCACUGGGCGUAAAGGGUGCGCAGGCGGCCGUGUGUGUGAGGCGUGAAAGCCCGGGGCUCAACCCCGGAAUUGCACCUCAAACUACAUGGCUAGAGCAUUGGAGAGGGAAGCGGAAUUCACGGUGUAGCAGUGAAAUGCGUAGAUAUCGUGAGGAACACCUGUGGCGAAAGCGGCUCACUGGACCGCAACUGACGCUGAGGCGCGAAAGCUAGGGGAGCAAACAGG